CAACUGGUGGACUGUUUUCUACUUGUGACGUCAGAACACGGCGUCGGGUGUUUCCGAGUGCAUGGAGGAACAGACCUGGGCUUCCUGAAUGGCUCGCGGUGGGAUGAAUAUCCGAGGGAAGGCGUACAUGGCUCCUUGGACAGGGUUGCAUUUGAUCCCAGGCACAGAGUUUAGGAUUCGCUCUGUAAGCCUGGCCUUGUGAGCCAGGACAUCCAGGACUGAGCUCUUCUCCUGGGCACAACAUAAAACACAAGGGUUAGGCAAUAAUAAACUACUGUAUGUUGUUCAGGUGCUCACCACUGACGACAUACCAAACUUGAAAUCCUGGAAAGGAUAGGGCCCUGCAGGUGUAACCACUUCAGUGAGACUAAAGGUUUAACUGUUUCAUGAAUGGAUUUAUGUAAGUGAAACACGGGUCAGACAUUAAAUAACUACUGACUCUUCGUAUGGCUGCGAGACCUGCACAGAGCAAGAGCUGAUUUUCUGCUGCACUUGAAGUACAGUUAGUUUCCCAUAAAACUGAAAACAGCCUGUGUCGGUUUCCUUCCAGUGAUCACAAAUGUUCAUGUCUUGGUGUGCAGCAGUAGAUUGCAUUUCCAAAGGCUACUUGUUACAAUGAAAGCCACCUGGUGUUUAGCCAAAGGAAUGCCUUUAAUGUGAAGGAGCAGCGACAGGAAAUGUACAGUUUGCAUUAGCAGUUGUUCAAAAUAUGUCUAAUAAUACAGUGACCACUGUAAAGAGUGAUGCUAACAGUCAGAACAGGAAGGAAAAUACAUUUUAUUUUGUGUAAAAGACUCCUUUAUGAUGCCAGCAUCCUCAGGUGUAAUAUUAUUUUAAUUAACUGUAUUGUUUGAUGCCAGCCUCUAAACUUACUGCUCAAUUAUUUCUCCACAUCCAAUCUCUUAUACACGGGUGCAGACGAGGGUCACAGUGCUACUGCCUCAAACUAACGCUCAGGUUUUGAAUGUGUCCUGUUGAGCCGACACUAUAAACGCAACUAAAUCGAUUUUGACCAAGCACACACCUUGGUAAACUGCGCAUAUGAGGGCUCGUGCUCUUUGGGGGGAUUUACAAUGACGUCCAUUGCUGCCUGUCCAGCGACAGGAGGGCAGAGGCGGACAGAAAGCAGUUUGAUCAGCUGGACCUUCACCUGUGGAUCCAUGUUCAACACCUCCAUAUAGCCUCCACGAAAACCA